rnacentral:rRNA from 1 species
CGGUUUCUUAAGUCUGAUGUGAAAGCCCCCGGCUCAACCGGGGAGGGUCAUUGGAAACUGGGAGACUUGAGUGCAGAAGAGGAGAGUGGAAUUCCAUGUGUAGCGGUGAAAUGCGAAGAUAUAUGGAGGAACACCAGUGGCGAAGGCGGCUCUCUGGUCUGUAACUGACGCUGAGGCUCGAAAGCGUGGGGAGCGAACAGGAUUAGAUACCCUGGUAGUCCACGCCGUAAACGAUGAGUGCUAAGUGUUGGAGGGUUUCCGCCCUUCAGUGCUGCAGCAAACGCAUUAAGCACUCCGCCUGGGGAGUACGACCGCAAGGUUGAAACUCAAAGGAAUUGACGGGGGCCCGCACAAGCGGUGGAGCAUGUGGUUUAAUUCGAAGCAACGCGAAGAACCUUACCAGGUCUUGACAUCCUUUGACCACUCUAGAGAUAGAGCUUCCCCUUCGGGGGCAAAGUGACAGGUGGUGCAUGGUUGUCGUCAGCUCGUGUCGUGAGAUGUUGGGUUAAGUCCCGCAACGAGCGCAACCCUUAUUGUUAGUUGCCAUCAUUUAGUUGGGCACUCUAGCGAGACUGCCGGUGACAAACCGGAGGAAGGUGGGGAUGACGUCAAAUCAUCAUGCCCCUUAUGACCUGGGCUACACACGUGCUACAAUGGGAAGUACAACGAGUUGCGAAGUCGCGAGGCUAAGCUAA